AUUGAACGCUGGCGGCAGGCCUAACACAUGCAAGUCGGGCAAGCGGCGGACGGGUGAGUAAUGUAUGGGGAUCUGCCUGAUGGAGGGGGAUAACUACUGGAAACGGUAGCUAAUACCGCAUACCAUCAGAUGAACCCAUAUGGGAUUAGGUAGUGGGUGAGGUAAAGGCUCACCAAGCCGACGAUCUCUAGCUGGUCUGAGAGGAUGACCAGCCACCCUGCGACUGAGACACGGCCCAGACUCCUACGGGAGGCAGCAGUGGGUAAUAUUGCGCAAUGGGGGCAACCCUGACGCAGCCAUGCGGCGUGAAUGAAGAAGGCUUUCGGGUUGUAAAGUUCUUUCGGUAGCGAGGCGUUAACUACAGAAGAAGCACCGGCUAACUCCGUGCCAGCAGCCGCGGUAAUAC
rnacentral:rRNA from 1 species